CCUACGGGAGGCAGCAGUGGGGAAUUUUGGACAAUGGACGCAAGUCUGAUCCAGCCAUUCCGCGUGCAGGAUGAAGGCCCUCGGGUUGUAAACUGCUUUUGUACAGAACGAAAAGGUCUCUCUUAAUACGGGGGGCUCAUGACGGUACCGUAAGAAUAAGCACCGGCUAACUACGUGCCAGCAGCCGCGGUAAUACGUAGGGUGCAAGCGUUAAUCGGAAUUACUGGGCGUAAAGCGUGCGCAGGCGGUUAUAUAAGACAGAUGUGAAAUCCCCGGGCUCAACCUGGGAACUGCAUUUGUGACUGUAUAGCUAGAGUACGGUAGAGGGGGAUGGAAUUCCGCGUGUAGCAGUGAAAUGCGUAGAUAUGCGGAGGAACACCGAUGGCGAAGGCAAUCCCCUGGACCUGUACUGACGCUCAUGCACGAAAGCGUGGGGAGCA
rnacentral:rRNA from 1 species